UUAGUUUAAAUCAUUGUAGACCUAUACUUUAAAAAUUGAACCCACACAAAAUGGUAGGACAUACAUUGAUUUCAUCCAA
rnacentral:pre_miRNA from 1 species